rnacentral:rRNA from 1 species
UGAAUACGAGACGCUAAGGCGUCGAAGUAGUGUAUGUCAUACUUCCAAGAAAAGCUUGCACUGUCAUAGAUAAAAAACGCCUGUACCAUAACCGACACAGGUGGGUAGGUAGAGUAUACUAAGGGGCGCGAGAUAACUCUCUCUAAGGAACUCGGCAAAAUAACUCCGUAACUUCGGGAGAAGGAGUGCCUUAUUCUUAAGGUUGCAAUAACAAGAUCCAAGCAACUGUUUAUCAAAAACACAGGUCUCCGCUAAGUCGUAAGACGAUGUAUGGGGGCUGACGCCUGCCCAGUGCCAGAAGGUUAAAGAAGCUGGUUAGCAAUUGCGAAGCUGGUGACUGAAGCCCUGGUGAACGGCGGCCGUAACAAUAACGGUCCUAAGGUAGCGAAAUUCCUUGUCGGGUAAGUUCCGACCCGCACGAAAGGCGUAAUGAUUUGGAUACUGUCUCGGAGAGGGGCUCGGUGAAAUAGACUUGUCUGUGAAGAUGCGGACUACCUGCACCAGGACAGAAAGACCCUAUGAAGCUUUACUGUAACUUGAAAUUGAAAUUGGACCUUAUUCGCGCAGCAUAGGUGGGAGGCGUUGAUUAUAAUCUUGCGGGAUUAUUGGAGCCAUUAGUGAGAUACCACUCUUGUAAUGUUAGAUUUCUAACUUUGAAUCAUUAUCUGGUCAAAGGACAGUUUCAGGCGGGCAGUUUGACUGGGGCGGUCGCCUCCCAAACGGUAACGGAGGCGUACAAAGGUUUCCUCUGAACGGUUAGAAAUCGUAUCUAGAGUGUAAAGGCAUAAGGAAGCUUGACUGUGAGACCUACAGGUCGAGCAGGGACGAAAGUCGGUCUUAGUGAUCUGACGGUACUGAGUGGAAAGGCCGUCACUCAACGGAUAAAAGUUACUCUAGGAUAACAGGCUGAUCUCCCCCAAGAGUUCACAUCGACGGGGAGGUUUGGCACCUCGAUGUCGGCUCAUCGCAUCCUGGGGCGGUAGUACGUCCCAAGGGUUGGGCUGUUCGCCCAUGAAAGCGGUACGCGAGCUGGGUUCAGAACGUCGUGAGACAGUUCGGUCCAUAUCCGGUGUAGGCGUUAGAAUAUUGAGAGGAGCCUUCUUUAGUACGAGAGGACCGAGAAGGACAUACCUCUGGUGUACCAGUUAUCGUGCCAACGGUAAACGCUGGGUAGCUAUGUAUGGAGUGGAUAACCGCUGAAAGCAUCUAAGUGGGAGGCCCACCUCAAGAUAAGUAUUCUCAU